CCUACGGGAGGCAGCAGUGGGGAAUAUUGCACAAUGGGGGAAACCCUGAUGCAGCGACGCCGCGUGAGUGAAGAAGUAAUUCGUUACGUACAGCUCUAUCAUCAGGGAAGAAAAUGACGGUCCCUGUGUAAGAAGCCCCGGCUAACUAGGUGCCAGCCGCCGCGGUAAUACGUAGGUGGCAAGCGUUAUCCGGAUUUACUGGGUGUAAGGGGAGCGUAGACGGUGGGCCAAGUCUGGAGGGAAAUGCCGCAGCUUAACUGAGGAACUGCUGUGGAAACUGGCGAACUAGAGUGCGGGAGGGGUAAGCGGAAUUCCUAGUGUAGCGGUGAAAUGCGUAGAUAUUAGGAGGAACACCGAUUGCGAAGGCGGCUUACUGGACCGUAACUGACGUUGAGGCUCGAAAGCGUGGGUAGCAAACAGGAUUAGAUACCCUUGUAGUC
rnacentral:rRNA from 1 species